rnacentral:lncRNA from 1 species
UACUGCUCAAUAUAAUUAUAUUUGUAUACUAUCGCAAUGUCUUCAAAAAUGAAGGCUGGGUAAAAAUGUUUUAGUAAAUACAUAAAAAAAGUAGCCUUCUUCACUUCCUAUAUUUGCAGUCUGAAGGAGGACACGGAGGGAAGAAGUUAUCACACUAGCCAUUAGUAAUAUUUGUUCAAAAAGAGGAGAGUGCCAAACCUCUGCUAUCAUCUAUCCUUUUCAUUUGGAUCUUAGGCAAAAUUGUCCACAGCUGAUCCUUGUUGAUUCUAAUUAAUCUGUAAUACUGGCCAAGCUUUCAGCUUGAAGAGUACAAACAAGUGACUUGUUCCAAAAUGUAAAAUAAAGCUUUAAAAUUGAUCUGUUCAACUAUUUAUUUGUUUAUCAUGUCAGAAACUAAUUGAGGGUACAGUUACAAUGUAUUUUUAAAAACACAAAGUUAAAAAUUUGACAUUAUACUACAUUUCCUUUGUCCAGAAGCUGGCCACUUGGAGUGUCACUGUGAGAAGGCCCUCCAUUGUGCAUGUGCCAGGGCUCAACUGCAUUCUGGAAUCCAAGAUAAAUAUGAAAGCAGAAAAUCAGCAACUGUUGCAAAAUUAAAUGCUCCCCAGUUGUUUGCACAGAAUGUAUAUAGGUAUCAAUCAAUGUUUGUAGGGUAGAGUGUUAAUCAGAAGAAAAAAUGUGCCACUUAACACAGGCAAGGAGUCACAACAACCACAGCAGGAUGAAGAUGAAGAGACAAAAUAAUAUUGCGAUAAGUAUUAGAUAAGCAGUAGUAGUAGUAGCUCUUAUUGCAUCUUAUUGGCAUUGAGCAGUUUAAAAAUUCAAUUAAAGAAACAAGCAAAUGGCAUUUGCAAUUGUAUUAAUGGGUUUGCUUUGAUUGUACUUUAUUGGCAUUUGCUUGUUUUAACCCAUGAUAUGCCACUCUAAUAUAGAGCAUUCUAAUCCAGCCACCUUUCAGGAAAAAAGAAAUAGUAGUCUAA